AUACGGGGGGUCCAAGCGUUAUCCGGAAUCAUUGGGUUUAAAGGGUCCGCAGGCGGUCAAUUAAGUCAGAGGUGAAAGCCCAUCGCUCAACGAUGGAACUGCCUUUGAUACUGGUUGACUUGAGUUAUACGGAAGUAGAUAGAAUAAGUAGUGUAGCGGUGAAAUGCAUAGAUAUUACUUAGAAUACCGAUUGCGAAGGCAGUCUACUACGUAUAUACUGACGCUGAGGGACGAAAGCGUGGGGAGCGAACAGGAUUAGAAACCCUAGUAGUCC
rnacentral:rRNA from 1 species